rnacentral:rRNA from 1 species
GUGCCAGCAGCCGCGGUAAUACGAAGGGUGCAAGCGUUAAUCGGAAUUACUGGGCGUAAAGCGCGCGUAGGUGGUUCGUUAAGUUGGAUGUGAAAGCCCCGGGCUCAACCUGGGAACUGCAUCCAAAACUGGCAAGCUAGAGUAUGGCAGAGGGUGGUGGAAUUUCCUGUGUAGCGGUGAAAUGCGUAGAUAUAGGAAGGAACACCAGUGGCGAAGGCGACCACCUGGGCUAAUACUGACACUGAGGUGCGAAAGCGUGGGGAGCAAACAGGAUUAGAUACCCGAGUAGUCC